CCUACGGGAGGCAGCAGUGGGGAAUUUUGGACAAUGGGCGCAAGCCUGAUCCAGCCAUGCCGCGUGUGGGAAGAAGGCCUUCGGGUUGUAAACCACUUUUGUCAGGGAAGAAACGGCCUUUACUAAUAUUAGGGGCUAAUGACGGUACCUGAAGAAUAAGCACCGGCUAACUACGUGCCAGCAGCCGCGGUAAUACGUAGGGUGCAAGCGUUAAUCGGAAUUACUGGGCGUAAAGCGUGCGCAGGCGGCUUUGCAAGACAGAUGUGAAAUCCCCGGGCUCAACCUGGGAACUGCAUUUGUGACUGCAUGGCUAGAGUACGGUAGAGGGGGAUGGAAUUCCGCGUGUAGCAGUGAAAUGCGUAGAUAUGCGGAGGAACACCGAUGGCGAAGGCAAUCCCCUGGACCUGUACUGACGCUCAUGCACGAAAGCGUGGGGAGCAAACAGGAUUAGAUACCCUGGUAGUCCACGCCCUAAACGAUGUCAACUGGUUGUUGGACGGCUUGCUGUUCAGUAACGAAGCUAACGCGUGAAGUUGACCGCCUGGGGAGUACGGCCGCAAGGUUGAAACUUACAAGGAAUUGACGG
rnacentral:rRNA from 1 species